rnacentral:rRNA from 1 species
UUGUUGGUAAGGUAAAAGCUUACCAAGGCUUCGAUCAGUAGCUGGUCUGAGAGGACGACCAGCCACACUGGGACUGAGACACGCCCCAGACUCCUACGGGAGGCAGCAGUGGGGAAUUUUGGACAAUGGGGGCAACCCUGAUCCAGCCAUGCCGCGUGAGUGAAGAAGGCCUUCGGGUUGUAAAGCUCUUUCAGCCGGAACGAAACGGUUACGGAUAACACCCGUGACUACUGACGGUACCGGAAGAAGAAGCACCGGCUAACUACGUGCCAGCAGCCGCGGUAAUACGUAGGGUGCGAGCGUUAAUCGGAAUUACUGGGCGUAAAGCGUGCGCAGGUGGUUUUGUAAGUCAGAUGUGAAAGCCCCGGGCUCAACCUGGGAACUGCGUUUGAAACUACAAGACUAGAGUGUGGCAGAGGGGGGUGGAAUUCCGCGUGUAGCAGUGAAAUGCGUAGAGAUGUGGAGGAACACCGAUGGCGAAGGCAGCCCCCUGGGUCAACACUGACGCUCAGGCACGAAAGCAUGGGGAGCAAACAGGAUUAGAUACCCUGGUAGUCCAUGCCCUAAACGAUGUCAACUAGUUGUCGGGCCUUUACGGGCUUGGUAACGUAGCUAACGCGUGAAGUUGACCGCCUGGGGAGUACGAUCGCAAGAUUAAAACUCAAAUGAAUUGACGGGGACCCGCACAAGCGGUGGAUUAUGUGGAUUAAUUCGAUGCAACGCGAAAAACCUUACCUACCCUUGACACGUAUCGAAGCCCGCAGAAAAGCGGGGGUGCCCGAAAGGGAACGAUAACACAGGUGCUGCAUGGCUGUCGUCAGCUCGUGUCGUGAGAUGUUGGGUUAAGUCCCGCAACGAGCGCAACCCUUGUCAUUAAUUGCCAUCAUUUAGUUGGGCACUUUAAUGAGACUGCCGG